rnacentral:rRNA from 1 species
GAUCAAGUGAAAGAAGGGCAUUUGGUGGAUGCCUUGGCAUGCACAGGCGAUGAAGGACGUGAUACGCUGCGAAAAGCCGUGGGGAGCUGCGAAUGAGCUUUGAUCCAUGGAUCUCCGAAUGGGGCAACCCACCUUAGAUGCUUGGAAAAUCAUUUUGGUUGGCACCUGGUCCCGAAGCCGUAAGGCUUCGCAAGGCCAGAGGCCGUCGCCGGUUAUCCGGCGUCAAGAAACCAAAGCGGUUUCCAAGCAUUGUUGAAAGGUAUCUUAUUCUGAAUACAUAGGGAUAAGAAGCGAACGCAGGGAACUGAAACAUCUAAGUACCUGCAGGAAAGGACAUCAACCGAGACUCCGCAAGUAGUGGCGAGCGAACGCGGACCAGGCCAGUGGCAAUGAGGAAUAAAGUGGAACGAUCUGGAAAGUUCGGCCGUAGCGGGUGACAGCCCCGUACACGUAGAACACUCAUUGUCCUUGAGUAAGGCGGGACACGUGAAAUCCUGUCUGAACAUGGGGAGACCACUCUCCAAGCCUAAGUACUCGUGCAUGACCGAUAGCGAACAAGUACCGUGAGGGAAAGGUGAAAAGCACCCCGACAAGGGGAGUGAAAUAGAACCUGAAACCGGAUGCCUACAAACAGUCGGAGCCCGCAAGGGUGACGGCGUACCUUUUGUAUAAUGGGUCAACGACUUAGUGUGGCAUGCAAGCUUAAGCCGGUAGGUGGAGGCGUAGCGAAAGCGAGUCUGAACAGGGCGCUUUAGUAUGUCGCAUUAGACCCGAAACCGAGUGAUCUAGCCAUGAGCAGGUUGAAGGUUGGGUAACACCAACUGGAGGACCGAACCCGCAUCUGUUGCAAUAGAUUGGGAUGACUUGUGGCUAGGGGUGAAAGGCCAAUCAAACUCGGAAAUAGCUGGUUCUCCGCGAAAACUAUUUAGGUAGUGCGUCGACCGAAUACCCUCGGGGGUAGAGCACUGGAUGGGCUAUGGGGACUCACCGUCUUACUGAUCCUAACCAAACUCCGAAUACCGAGGAGUACUAGUCGGCAGACACACGGCGGGUGCUAACGUCCGUCGUGAAAAGGGCAACAACCCUGACCUCCAGCUAAGGUCCCCAAGUCAUGGCUAAGUGGGAAAGGAUGUGAGGAUCCCAAAACAACCAGGAUGUUGGCUUAGAAGCAGCCAUCAUUUAAAGAAAGCGUAACAGCUCACUGGUCUAAAUAAGGGUCUUUGCGCCGAAAAUGUAACGGGGCUGAAGCCAUGCACCGAAGCUGAGGCUUACGAUCUUCCUCGGAAGACGUAGGGGUAGCGGAGCGUUCCGUAAGCCAGUGAAGGGAUACCCGUGAGGGGUCCUGGAGGUAUCGGAAGUGCGAAUGUUGACAUGAGUAACGAUAAAGAGGGUGAGAGACCCUCUCGCCGAAAGACCAAGGGUUCCUGCUUAAAGUUAAUCUGAGCAGGGUUAGCCGGCCC